rnacentral:rRNA from 1 species
GAUGAACGCUGGCGGCGUGCCUAAUACAUGCAAGUCGAGCGAACGGACGAGAAGCUUGCUUCUCUGAUGUUAGCGGCGGACGGGUGAGUAACACGUGGAUAACCUACCUAUAAGACUGGGUUAACUUCGGGAAACCGGAGCUAAUACCGGAUAAUAUUUUGAACUGCAUGUUUCAACAGUGGAAGACGGUCUUGCUGUCACUUAUAGAUGUAUCCGCGCUGCAUUGGCUAGUUGGUAAGGUAACGGCUUACCAAGGCAACGAUGCAUAGCCGACCUGAGCGGUUGACCGGCCACACUGGAACUGAGACACGGUCCAGACUCCUACGGAAGGCAGCAGUAGGGAAUCUUCCGCAAUGGGCGAAAGCCUGACGGAGCAACGCCGCGUGAGUAAUGAAGGUCUUCGAAUCGUAAAACUCUUUUAUUAGGGAAGAACAGAUGUGUAAGUAACUGUGCACAUCUUGACGGUACCUAAUCAGAAAGCCACGGCUAACUACGUG